GUCUAGAGUACACAGGAGUCUUCAUAUCAGGGUCUCAGAAUGAGGUGCCCUGCUCAGCUCCUGGGGCUGCUUGUGCUCUGGAUCCCUGGAGCCAGUGGGGAUAUUGUGAUGACCCAGCCUGCAUACUCUAAUCCUGUUAAUCUUGGAGAGUCAGUUUCUAUCUCCUGCAGGUCUAGUAAGAGUCUCCUACAUAGUAAUGGCAAAACUUACUUGCAUUGGUACCUACAGAGGCCAGGACAGUCUCCUCAGCUCCUGAUCUAUCAGAUGUCCAAUCGUGCCUCAGGAGUCCCAGACAGGUUCAGUGGCAGUGGGUCAGGGACAGACUUCACUCUGAAAAUCAGUAGAGUGGAGGCUGAGGAUGUCGGUGUUUAUUACUGUCAGCACAGUAUAGAACUUCCGCUCACGUUCGGCGGCGGGACCAAGCUGGAGCUGAAACGGGCUGAUGCUAAGCCAACUGUGUCCAUCUUCCCACCAUCCAAGGAGGAGUUACAGGCUGGAAGUGCCUCAGUCGUGUGUUUCCUGAACAACUUCUACCCCAAAGACAUCGACGUCAAGUGGAAGGUAGAUAACAAUGAACGACAAAGUGGAGUCCUGAAGAGUCUGACGGAUCAGGACAGCAAAGACAGCACCUACAGCCUGAGCAGCACCCUCACGCUGACCAAACAGGAAUAUGAAAGCCAUUCUGUCUACACCUGUGAGGCCACGCAUAAGACGUCAACUACACCCAUCAGCAAGAGCCUCAACAGGAAUGAGUGUUAGAGCGAAGGGUCCUGAGGUGCCACCA